AAUCUGUGAUACAAGAGUACUCUCAUUAGCUCCUUAAAUCUCUACCACGCUUCAAAGAGUGAUUCCCUGUACGUCUGCCUAAAGCAUGUAAUCUGGUUCCUAAGAUG